UCACAACGUCUCUUUUUAAACUUUGUUCAUAUCAAAGAAUGAAGAUAAUGCGGAAUCUCCUAUCAAUUCUUAUUCUGUUCGGCCUAUUAACCGGUGCCGGUUGUAAAACUAGUUUCCAAAAAAAGGAAGAAUCUAAAAUGGAUACGCACGGCUAUUCUCCAAGUAAACGUAGAAAGCUAUUUUGAAGCGACAUCCAUUGGUACGUUAAAGCUGACUAUUGGCUUUUUCUAUUAGAAAUUCGAAGAUCCCUAUGAAUUAACCAAUUUUUCCGCAACAAAGAAAUAGGAAUUUAAAUUUGACAAUUCUAAGACAUUGAUUGUUAAGAAAUUAAUAGCGAUAAAUUCCAAGGGAGAAAAUUUGCUAUUAGACAAUAUCCUGGAAAUACAAAUGCGUUUGAACGAAAAAUAAUAUAAAUAAAACAUUACACAAUGAACUGUAUUUAACGAUUAAUAAACAAAAUAAUAAAUCGAAAUAGAAAAAGAAGUAUUUUCUAAGGUGAAAACACAAAAUAUCAUUAACAAAAUAAGAUAUUAUAACAAUAAAUCAAUAGUAAAGCUAAUCGAAAGUGAAACGAAUAAGUUUCGAA